CAAGGCUUGACAUCUGGAGAACCUCUUGGAAACAGGAGGGUGCCGCAAGGAACUCCAAGACAGGUGGUGCAUGGCUGUCGUCAGCUCGUGUCGUGAGAUGUUGGGUUAAGUCCCGCAACGAGCGCAACCCUCGAUGCCAGUUGCCAACGGGUAAAGCCGGGCACUCUGGCGUGACUGCCGGUGACAAACCGGAGGAAGGUGGGGAUGACGUCAAGUCAUCAUGCCCCUUAUGCCUUGGGCUACACACGUGCUACAAUGGUCGGGACAGAGGGCUGCAAAACCGCGAGGUGGAGCCAAUCCCUAAACCCGGCCUCAGUUCAGAUUGCAGGCUGCAACCCGCCUGCAUGAAGGCGGAAUCGCUAGUAACCGCAG
rnacentral:rRNA from 1 species